GGGACAGGAGCCCAGCCCGCGAUUCCCAGGUGUCCCCAUUCCGGGAUCUGGUCUGAACACACACACCGCACCAUGGCGUUUGGCCUCAGCUGGGUUUUCCUCGUCGCUGUUUUACAAGGUGUCCAGUGUGAGGUGCAGCUGGUGGAGUCUGGGGGAGACGUGGUGCGGCCCGGGGGGUCUCUGCGACUCUCCUGUGCAGCCUCUGGAUUCACCUUCAGUAGCUACGCCAUGAACUGGGUCCGCCAGGUUCCGGGGAAGGGGCUGGAGUGGGUCUCAUACAUUAGGUAUGAUGGCAGCAGCACAUACUACGCUGCCUCCGUGAAGGGCCGAUUCACCAUCUCCAGAGACAACGCCAAGAACA